rnacentral:rRNA from 1 species
UACGUAGGGCGCAAGCGUUGUCCGGAAUUAUUGGGCGUAAAGAGCUCGUAGGCGGCUUGUCAAGUCGCGUGUGAAAGCCCCCGGCUCAACUGGGGAGGGUCACGCGAUACUGAUCGACUCGAAGGCAGGAGAGGGUAGUGGAAUUCCCGGUGUAGUGGUGAAAUGCGUAGAUAUCGGGAGGAACACCAGUGGCGAAGGCGACUUACUGGACACAUAUUGACGCUGAGGUGCGAAAGCGUGGGGAGCAAACAGG